UAAAAUGUUACGCAUUCAAUUACCAAGGUUCAUGCGUGAAUCAAUCAUGUGCUUAUACUCAUUCUUGUUUAAGAUGCUUUGAUCAGCACCCACUUAUGAUUCAGUGCCCAGACAAGACUGUUUUCCUGAAGGCAGGCAAAAUGUAAGAUUUAAGCAAACUAGGCCUCAGUUUAGACCGAGAUUUAAGGCACGUGUAAGCAACUCGUUGCAGUAUCCCAUCAAUACGAACUCGUAUACUGGGCAAAAUAUGAAGUGAAUUUUUAGCAAAUGCAAUUACAAUUGAUCUUAAAGAGAUAUCAAAUUGAGAAUUUUUGUGAUAUUUAUCUUAUGUUUAAUUUUGUAUAGAAUUUGGAUUGUAUUGAUUUCGAAUCCAAACUGAUGUAUCAUCUAUUGGAUAAAGGGUGGACUCCAUUAAACACAACUGAAUUAAAAGAAUUAAAAGAAUGUAACUUGGGGGUUAUACAAAAGUGUAGAUUCCUAGCUCCGGCUGAGGGGUUUACUUUUGGCUUAAGGUUAUCAUAUGAA
rnacentral:lncRNA from 1 species